rnacentral:sRNA from 1 species
GUCUCUCGCUGUGGCCUGAGCUCCAGGUCUCGUCUUCAGCGCUCUGUGUCCUCUGCUCCUAGAGGUCCAGGCUCUGUGGCCUUGUGACCUGCAGGUAUUGGGAGAUCUACAGCUAAGACGCCAGGAACCCCUGGAAGCCUAGAAAUGGAGAACCUGAAGUCUGGAGUGUAUCCUCUCAAGGAAGCAAGUGGAUGCCCUGUGGCUGACAGGAAUCUUCUGGUGUACUCUUUUUAUGAAAAGGGGCCGUUGACAUUUAAGGAUGUGGCCAUAGAAUUCUCUCUGGAGGAGUGGCAAUGCCUGGACACUGCUCAGCAGGAUUUGUAUAGAAAAGUGAUGUUAGAGAACUACAGAAACCUGGUCUCCUUGGGUGAGAAUAACUUUAGUACACAAUUACUAAUAUACCCUAAAGGUUUCAUUUCUCAUUUUUUGAGAAUAAUUUUUGGUAAUUUAUACUUUGCAUAAAUGAGUUUCUGAUACUUGUUCUUAAGAAAACCUUGAGGAU